rnacentral:rRNA from 1 species
UACGAAGGGGGGCUAGCGUUGCUCGGAUUGACUGGGCGUAAAGGGCGCGUAGGCGGUUUGUACAGUCAGACGUGAAAUUCCCGGGCUCAACCUGGGGGCUGCGUUUGAUACGUGCAGACUUGAGUUCGGAAGAGGGUCGUGGAAUUCCCAGUGUAGAGGUGAAAUUCGUAGAUAUCGGGAGGAACACCGUGGCGAAGGCGACUCACUGGACACGUAUUGACGCUGAGGUGCGAAAGCGUGGGGAGCAAACAGG